rfam:Larimichthys crocea isolate SSNF unplaced genomic scaffold scaffold440, whole genome shotgun sequence.
UUUACUUAAUGAAGACACUUCUUGAAACCAUUUUUGUGAGAGGAGUUUCUGAUGAAGCUGUAAA